rnacentral:rRNA from 1 species
CAGCCGCCGCGGUAAUACGUAGGUGGCAAGCGUUGUCCGGAAUUAUUGGGCGUAAAGGGCUCGCAGGCGGUUUUUUAAGUCUGAUGUGAAAGCCCACGGCUCAACCGUGGAGGGUCAUUGGAAACUGGAAAACUUGAGUGCAGAAGAGGAAAGUGGAGUUCCAUGUGUAGCGGUGAAAUGCGCAGAGAUAUGGAGGAACACCAGUGGCGAAGGCGACUUUCUGGUCUGUAACUGACGCUGAUGUGCGAAAGCGUGGGGAUCAAACAGGAUUAGAUACCCCCGUAGUCCCUGUCUCUUAUAC